GACCUACAGCUGAAUGUUAUCACUUCCAGGUGAAGGGGUCCCAGGGCCUUGCUGGCCUGGAAGUAGAGUUAUACAGACAUCGCCUGCUGAUGCUCCCUUAUCCUCCAGAUCUCUGGGUCUCCUUCUAAAACAUUAGGACUAGAAGAAACUACGAGAGCAUCCAAGCAUUUCCUCCAACGUUCUGUUUUACAGUGUGUCCCCACUAGAAUGUAAGUUCCACGAGAGCAGAGAAGCUGACUGUCCGGCAGUUCUCUAACGUGCACCCAGCUUCUGGAACAGUGGCGAGCUCAGAGCAGGCCCUCAAUCAAGCAUCUGUUGAAUGAGCGCUUUGCGGGAGCCCAGAGCAGCGACCACCGGAAAGACGAAGGUCUGACUCCCACCCGUCCCCAGACAAGCGUUUCUGAUGUUUCCUCCUGAGAUGGGCAGCCACACGCCCUUGGCCUUCACCUUGAGCUGACAGGCUGGUGUCUGCGGCCCCCAGAGGCUUGGCCGGAUCUGUGGCCAGCUCCCACAGGAAGACGACAGCACAGCCCCCACCUGCACACACCCCAGCAACUGUCCUCAGCUCAGUUCUCCUCUGACAAACCUCGCUAGCGUCCUUGGCUUUUCACUCCUCAGGCUUGUGGCCAGGAAAUGCGACUCCAGAGGUGCGGGGAGAAUGUCCAGCUGUCAUUGAGAGACCCCACCAAAACCAGCUUCAUGAAUCCCGUUUAUGCAUUUGCUACAACAAAGACACUAAGGUCACUGGCCACACGGACCCUAAGGGUCUACCACCAGAAAAUCCUCCUGAGGACUUGCUCUGAGAGCUCAGGGCCAGAGAUGCCUCAAGCUCUUUAUGGAAAUGAGGAGGGGAAAAAAAAAAACAAGGAGGAGGGAAGGGAAAGUAAAUAUGAGCUAGCAAAAAAAAGCGACCUACUUUGCUACUUUGCUA
rnacentral:lncRNA from 1 species